rnacentral:tRNA from 1 species
GUUGUUGUGGCCGAGAGGUUAAGGCGAUGGACUGAAAUCCAUUGGGGUCUCCCCGGCGCAGUUUCGAGUCCUGCCAGCAACG